CCCUUAGAUGUUCUGGGCGGCCCGCGCACUACAAUGGCGUGUGCAGCGAGUGCCGAAGUAGAGUUUUCCGAGGUAUUCUUGCAAUGCUCGUUUUGAUGGGGAUAGACCCUUGCAACUGUUAGUUUUGAACGAGGAAUUCCUUGUAAGCAUGGUUUAUCAUCCGACGCUGAAUGCGUCCCUGCCCUUUGUACACACCGCCCGUCGCUCCUACCGAUGAGUCGUCCGGUGAAGUUCGUAGACCUCGUGAUCGCGGAUCACUGGGGGAAGCAAAAUGAACCUCGCGGUUUAGAGGAAGGAGAAGUCGUAACA
rnacentral:rRNA from 1 species